rnacentral:lncRNA from 1 species
GGACAGAUCCUGACGUCCAAUCAAGACACAAACUGCUUCUGGCCAGUCUGAGGCAGGCUGCUCUCGGCAGUAAUAUAUUGCAUCUCUGAUAGGAAGAGCCACACCAAAGGGGAGAGUCUCCAGAUCUCUUAAGGUGAAACCAAUAUUAGUCAACCAAAUAAUUAGCUUCUCAGCGAGGCUGGAAAUAGAUGCGCUGUGUCCGAAACAGCAUCGAUUGUCAUCAUGUUCUAUUUGUU